rnacentral:rRNA from 1 species
UACGUAGGGGGCUAGCGUUGUCCGGAAUCAUUGGGCGUAAAGCGCGCGUAGGCGGCCCGGUAAGUCCGCUGUGAAAGUCAAAGGCUCAACCUUUGAAUGUCAGCGGAUACUGCCGGGCUAGAGUCCGGAAGAGGCGAGUGGAACUCCUGGUGCAGCGGUGGAAUGCGCAGAUAUCAGGAAGAACACCGGUGGCGAAGGCGGUGGGCUGGGCCGGCACUGACGCUGAGGAGCGAAAGCGUGGGGAGCGAACAGG